UCGUUGUUUAGUACCUGUAUUUUUUUUCGGUGCAGUAUUGUGGUUGGCUUAAUGAUUUUCUCAUCUCGCUGUUUUGCGCCCAAACUUGCAGCUCCCUUGGACGAGUUUUUUUCUUCGAGAAAUCUCCGUUGGAUUUUUUUUUUAGAAAGGGAAUCUCGUUUAAUAAGCUAGGAAAAAGCCCACUCAUGACUAAGCCCAGACAUUCAUUCCAGCCCAUUGCCCACGUCUGCCUCUCUCUGUCGUCCAGGUCGUCCAGCCCACUCGAGCUCGAAGCCGCCGCCGCCGCCGCCGCUGAAAGCCUGAAUCCCAAUCCCUAAUUCCUUCGGAGCUCCGACUGCUCCCGGCUCCACUCCGGAGCUGCCGCACCCACCUUGCCAGCAAGCUCCCGCACCUCCAGCGACUGGCGCCCGAUGCGUCAUCUCCCUGACUCCCUCCCCGCACCCUGCAGUGCACCGUCUGCUCCAGCUCGGCAGCGCCUGCGCCGGUGCCGGUGGAGCUGCUACACGACGCAAGGAGGCGUAAGCGAGAGUACUGGGACAGCGUGCGUGGACUUCGUUCGGAGAGGUGGUCGGUUGUCGCUGCUCCUGCUCGAGCAAGGGGAAAUGAAAUGUUUUGAACAUGAAGAAAACAGGUUGGAAUCGGCUAAACAAAGAAGUGAAGAAUUUAUGAUACAUAGUCCUAAUAUCUCUGGAAAAAGCCCAGACAGAAGUCUAAGAAAUGUGGUGAAGACACGGAGGUGGGCAAGGUUGAACCAAACAUACCAGUUGAGAAUGGAGGCCGUAAGAUAGCACAAUCAAUGGAGCCUUCUUUUGUUAGUGGUCGCGUAGAUCGCCAUGGAAUGGAUCUAGAAGAAAGAACAGAUUGAGUGUAGCUAAUGUAACCUUAUUACUCUAUUCAUGGAUUGCCAUCACCGAUGGUCAACUCUCAGAACACGAACGGGGUGGCCUUAUCUGUGGUGGUUGGGAUGCUUAAUGAGAACUGGUACCAAAUUAAAUAAAGGUGAUCAUGUCAAACAAGCUA